AUGGGCGUGUGUAUGGGAGGCAAAGGCGGGAGCUCCCUGCUUGUGUUAAAAAACAUAAACAAGCAAAAUGACUUCUCCCAGCUGGCUGCAGGUCCGGGUGUGGGGGAGGGAGGUGGGCAGGGAGGUGCCCACCUCUCUGUUCCUCUAUGCCUUCUCUUUCUCCCGACCUGGACCUUUCAGAGCAGUUCACCACGCUCUUCUUCCUGCUGCUAUUUGCAGUUCUGUGGACCCGUGAUUUCCCGUCUCACCUGGUCCGCUGGGGGCUGGCGCCAACCUCCCCAGUCCCAGCCUCCACACUUCCCUUUCUUACUUGCUCUUUCAGCGUGGACCUGCCCAGUCUCUGUAGCUCUCCGGAGCUUCCUCUCAAGAGUUUCCCACGGCUCCAUCUCCAGCGUGUGUCUUCUCUGCUUUUUAACGAUCUGUUUUGCCCUGUGUGACUCGGAUGGUCCCGUUGCUAUACUGCCGUCUUCAGAAAUCCCCACAGAGCAGCUGCGUCUUUGGCCUCUGAAGAGCGGAAACCUGGGAUCGCAGAGGCCACCUGUUCGCAUCCUUCUCCUGGGAUUUCAGGCACGAAUAAGCAGACGACAGCCCUGCCGGCCGCGGUCCCCUCAGUCUUGGAACUUCCCUCCAGGAGUACGAGAAAGAAAUCCAGUCUCGGGGAGUUUGUUACUGCAGCUGCGGAUGGACCAAGGUCUCUCUCUGACCUGCGAGUUGUAAGAACCGAUGUGGUGUAGUUGUCUUGUCUUUUCCCCAGUUCUGCCACAGAGCUCCCAACGCCCGUGGUGUUUUCUCAGUGCUAGGAAUGCCUUUCGGCAGACAUGACCAGGAAAAUGGAAUCCACUUACAUAUGCCUAUUAGUCUGUGAUUUGAGCUUUCACAGCAGGCAGAAUAACAGGCUCCCGAAGAUGUCCGCGUGCUCACCUCUGGACUUCGUGAUUGUCACACAUCACACGGCUAAUGUGACUUUGCCAGUUGAUUAAGUGAAGGAACUUGAGAUGAGGAGGUUAGCCUGGACUGAUCAGGUGUCCCUGCAGAAUCGAUGGGUCCUCGUAAGAGGGGGAGAGCAUGGAGCAGAGAUCACCGUCGGAGGGAGGCUGGGCCGCGCCAUGCUCCUGGCUUUGUGGGUGGAAGAAGGGGCCAGAAGCCAAGGAAUGCAGGUGGCCUGUUAAUACUGGAAAAUGCAAGGGAGUAGCUUCUCCCUGAGCCUCCGGGAGGAACCCAGUCCUGACACCAACCCAGAGAGGCCCAUUGAAGUUUUGACCUCCAGGACAGCAAGGCAAUAAAUUCAUGGGAUUUUUAAAAAAUAUGUAUUUA
rnacentral:lncRNA from 1 species